AACGAACGCUGGCGGCAUGCCUAACACAUGCAAGUCGAACGAGACCUUCGGGUCUAGUGGCGCACGGGUGCGUAACGCGUGGGAAUCUGCCCUUGGGUUCGGAAUAACAGUUAGAAAUGACUGCUAAUACCGGAUAAUGACGUAAGUCCAAAGAUUUAUCGCCCAAGGAUGAGCCCGCGUAGGAUUAGCUAGUUGGUGGGAA
rnacentral:rRNA from 1 species